rnacentral:miRNA from 1 species
UAGCUGCCUCAGAAUGAGUCUAA